UACGAAGGGGGGCUAGCGUUGUUCGGAAUUACUGGGCGUAAAGCGCACGUAGGCGGCUUUGUAAGUUAGAGGUGAAAGCCCGGGGCUCAACUCCGGAAUUGCCUUUUAAGACUGCAUCGCUAGAAUUGUGGAGAGGUAAGUGGAAUUCCGAGUGUAGAGGUGAAAUUCGUAGAUAUUCGGAAGAACACCAGUGGCGAAGGCGACUUACUGGACACAUAUUUGACGCUGAGGUGCGAAAAGCGUGGGGGAGCAAACAGGG
rnacentral:rRNA from 1 species